rnacentral:rRNA from 1 species
AAAGGAAUUGACGGGGACCCGCACAAGCAGCGGAGCAUGUGGUUUAAUUCGAAGCAACGCGAAGAACCUUACCAGGACUUGACAUCCCUCUGACCGGCCAGAUAACGACGGCCUUUCUUCGGACAGAGGUGACAGGUGGUGCAUGGUUGUCGUCAGCUCGUGUCGUGAGAUGUUGGGUUAAGUCCCGCAACGAGCGCAACCCUUGUCAUUAGUUGCCAGCAUUGAGUUGGGCACUCUAGUGAGACUGCCGGGGACAACUCGGAGGAAGGUGGGGAUGACGUCAAAUCAUCAUGCCCCUUAUGUUCUGGGCUACACACGUGCUACAAUGGUCGGUACAAAGAGUCGCGAGACCGCGAGGUGGAGCCAAUCUCAAAAACCGAUCCCAGUUCGGAUUGCAGGCUGCAACUCGCCUGCAUGAAGUCGGAGUUGCUAGUAAUCGUGGAUCAGAAUGCCACGGUGAAUGCGUUCCCGGGUCUUGUACACACCGCCCGU